CAAUUGGAAACAGUUGCUAAGACUGGAUAGGAAAUUAAAAGGCAUCUUUUAAUUUUUAAAAGACCUUUUUCGGAAGGUAUGCUUAAAGAGGGGCUUGCGCCACAUUAGUUAGUUGGUAAGGUAAAGGCUUACCAAGACGAUGAUGUGUAGCUGGACUGAGAGGUUGAACAGCCACAUUGGGACUGAGACACGGCCCAAACUCCUACGGGAGGCAGCAGUAAGGAAUUUUUGGCAAUGGAGGAAACUCUGACCGAGCGACGCCGCGUGAACAAUGAAGUACUUCGGUAUGUAAAGUUCUUUUAUUGAAAAAGAAAAAAUAGUGGAAAAACUAUCUUGACAUUAUUCAAUGAAUAAGCCCCGGCUAAUUAUGUGCCAGCAGCCGCGGUAAUACAUAAGGGGCGAGCGUUAUCCGGAAUUAUUGGGCGUAAAGGGUGCGUAGGCGGUUUGAUAAGUCUAUAGUUUAAUUGCAGUGCUUAACGCUGUACCGCUAUAGAAACUGUCUGACUAGAGUUAGAUAGAGGCAAGCGGAAUUCCAUGUGUAGCGGUAAAAUGCGUAAAUAUAUGGAGGAACACCAGAGGCGUAGGCGGCUUGCUGGGUCUUAACUGACGCUGAGGCACGAAAGCGUGGGGAGCAAACAGGAUUAGAUACCCUGGUAGUCCACGCCGUAAACGAUGAGUACUAAGUGUCGGGUUUUGGCUCGGUACUGAAGUUAACACAUUAAGUACUCCGCCUGAGUAGUACGUACGCAAGUAUGAAACUUAAAGGAAUUGACGGGACCCCGCACAAGCGGUGGAUCAUGUUGUUUAAUUCGAAGAUACACGAAAAACCUUACCAGGUCUUGACAUAAUUUUGCGACAUUAUAGAAAUAUAAUGAAGGUUAUCAGAAUUACAGGUGGUGCAUGGUUGUCGUCAGCUCGUGUCGUGAGAUGUUAGGUUAAGUCCUAAAACGAGCGCAACCCUUGUCGUUAGUUGCGACCACAUAAUGGUGAGCACUUUAGCGAGACUGCCAAUGAAAAAUUGGAGGAAGGUGAGGAUUACGUCAAAUCAUCAUGCCCCUUAUGAUCUGGGCUACAAACGUGAUACAAUGGCUGUUACAAAGAGUAGCUACAACGUGAGUUUUUAGCCAAUCUCAAAAAAACAGUCUCAGUUCGGAUUGAAGUCUGCAACUCGACUUCAUGAAGUUGGAAUCGCUAGUAAUCGCGAAUCAGCAUGUCGCGGUGAAUACGUUCUCGGGGUUUGUACACACCGCCCGUCAAACCACGAAAGUUGAUAAUACCCAAAACCGGUC
rnacentral:rRNA from 1 species